AAGUUGUAACAAGGUCUCUGUUGGUGAACUAGCGGAGGGAUCAUUAUAGAGUUGCAAAACUCCUAUCACCAUUGCGAACUUACUUUACAACCGUUGCUUUGGCAGGCGGCUCUAGGCUUCUGUUUUCACAGAUCCUUGGGGCCCUAUGGCCUGAUUGUCAGGUGCCUGCCGGAGGUUAUGCAACUAGAUAUCGUUUAUGGCCUGUUAGAAUUUGUACUACCAAUUAGUUAAAACUUUCAACAACGGAUCUCUUGGUUCUG
rnacentral:misc_RNA from 1 species